CCCACUGAUAUUUAUUGAAGGGCCGCAGUAUCCUAACUGUGCAAAGGUAGCAUAAUAAUUAGUCUUUUAAUUGAAGGCUGGAAUGAAUGAUUGGACGAGGCAUAAACUGUCUCAAGCAAAUUGAUAGAAUUUUAUUUUUUAGUUAAAAAGCUGAAAUGUAUUUAAAAGACGAGAAGACCCUAUAGAUCUUUAUAUAAAUUUUUAUGUUUGUUUAUCGGAUUCAUAUAUACAUAUACAUACAUAAUUAUUAAUAUUUUAUUGGGGUGAUAUUGAAAUUAAAUUAACUUUCAAUAAAUGAUUGAAACAUUAAUUUAUGAUUUAUUGAUCCAUUAUUAUUGAUUAAAAAUUUAAGUUACCUUAGGGAUAACAGCGUAAUUAUUUUGGAGAGUUCAUAUCGAUAAAAUAGAUUGCGACCUCGAUGUUGGAUUAAGAUUAAUUUUGGGUGUAGCCGCUUAAAAUAUUAAGUCUGUUCGACUUUUAAUUUCUUACAUGA
rnacentral:rRNA from 1 species